UGGGGAAUUUUGGACAAUGGGCGAAAGCCUGAUCCAGCAAUGCCGCGUGUGUGAAGAAGGCCUUCGGGUUGUAAAGCACUUUUGUCCGGAAAGAAAUCCUUGGCUCUAAUACAGUCGGGGGAUGACGGUACCGGAAGAAUAAGCACCGGCUAACUACGUGCCAGCAGCCGCGGUAAUACGUAGGGUGCAAGCGUUAAUCGGAAUUACUGGGCGUAAAGCGUGCGCAGGCGGUUUGCUAAGACCGAUGUGAAAUCCCCGGGCUCAACCUGGGAACUGCAUUGGUGACUGGCAGGCUAGAGUAUGGCAGAGGGGGGUAGAAUUCCACGUGUAGCAGUGAAAUGCGUAGAGAUGUGGAGGAAUACCGAUGGCGAAGGCAGCCCCCUGGGCCAAUACUGACGCUCAUGCACGAAAGCGUGGGGAGCAAACAGGAUUAGAUACCCUGGUAGUCCACGCCCUAAACGAUGUCAACUAGUUGUUGGGGAUUCAUUUCCUUAGUAACGUAGCUAACGCGUGAAGUUGACCGCCUGGGGAGUACGGUCGCAAGAUUAAAACUCAAAUGAAUUGACGGGGGUCAUAGCU
rnacentral:rRNA from 1 species